CCUGUAGAACAAUGAUCCCAGUAUAAGCACAUAUAUGACUCUAGAUCUCAAGUCCAGUUCUUCUGAUGUGUACAACACACUCGCAUCUGUCCAUCCCAGAGCUGCUGUUCAUCAGUCGUGCUCUUCUGAAUAUCAGAAUCAGACAGUACGCAGCAGCAACCAAAACAUCCUGUAUUAACUGUAUUAGUUACACACAACACUGACAGGGAUUUCACAGUUCAUGCAUUACCAUAAAUACUAUAAUACUCUCUGACUGUCAUUACAAACCCAGGCAUAGUUUUGAAGAUUUUGAUUAGUGACGUAUGUUGAGACACUGCCAGUGGGCACUGAUUCAUUGCAUAGGUUGGGAUUCUGGAUGGGGUUAUUUCCUGUGCCACCCACCUCUACUGCCCACUAGAUCCUGUCAGUUCUCUUUUGCCAGUAAACUGAAGUUGAAAAGAAAAUAUCUCAAGGGUGUUUAAGAAUAAGAUGUCCGUCUGUGGUCAAAGUGAUGAAAUAUAGUCUUACUCAAUACAUGUUUCAAAUUCUUCUGAAAAUGUUUCCAGGAAGAAAUGAUGGACAAUGUAAAAC